GACGAACCGAGCGAACGUUGUUCGGAAUCACUGGGCUUAAAGAGCGCGCAGGCGGUCGUACAAGGCGCGUGUGAAAGCCCCCGGCUCAACUGGGGAGGGUCACGCGAUACUGUUCGACUCGAAGGCAGGAGAGGGAAGCAGAAUUCCCGGUGUAGUGGUGAAAUGCGUAGAUAUCGGGAGGAAUACCAGUGGCGAAGGCGGCUUCCUGGCCUGUUCUUGACGCUGAGGCGCGAAAGCUAGGGUAGCAAACGGG
rnacentral:rRNA from 1 species